GUUUAAUUAGUAUAAAAAGUAUAAUAGACUUCCAAUCUUUAGGUCUAAGUUAUAGAUUAAAUA
rnacentral:tRNA from 1 species